rnacentral:pre_miRNA from 1 species
AGGAGGGAGGAGAUGGGCCACGUUCCCUCUGCCUGGAACGCCCUUCCCCCCCUUCUUCA